rfam:Oryza sativa Japonica Group DNA, chromosome 8, cultivar: Nipponbare, complete sequence.
UCAAUGCGUGGUUAUGAGUUUCAAUGCCCAACUUUGACCAUCCGUCUUAUUUGAAAUAUUUUUAUGAUUAGUACUUUUACUGUUAUUAGAUGAUAAAAUAUAAAUAGUAUUUUAUGCAUGACUUAACUUUUAAAAUUUUUUCAUAAAAUUUUCAAAUAAGACGGACGGUUAAACAUUGGACACAGAAACUUAUGGCUGCGCUUAUA